rnacentral:rRNA from 1 species
GAUGAACGCUGACAGAAUGCUUAACACAUGCAAGUCAACUUGAAUUUGGGUUUUUAACUUAGAUUUGGGUGGCGGACGGGUGAGUAACGCGUAAAGAACUUGCCUCACAGCUAGGGACAACAUUUAGAAAUGAAUGCUAAUACCUGAUAUUAUGAUUUUAAGGCAUCUUAGAAUUAUGAAAGCUAUAAGCACUGUGAGAGAGCUUUGCGUCCCAUUAGCUAGUUGGAGAGGUAACAGCUCACCAAGGCGAUGAUGGGUAGCCGGCCUGAGAGGGUGAACGGCCACAAGGGGACUGAGACACGGCCCUUACUCCUACGGGAGGCAGCAGUGGGGAAUAUUGGACAAUGGACCGAGAGUCUGAUCCAGCAAUUCUGUGUGCACGAUGAAGUUUUUCGGAAUGUAAAGUGCUUUCAGUUGGGAAGAAAUAAAUGACGGUACCAACAGAAGAAGUGACGGCUAAAUACGUGCCAGCAGCCGCGGUAAUACGUAUGUCACGAGCGUUAUCCGGAUUUAUUGGGCGUAAAGCGCGUCUAGGUGGUUAUGUAAGUCUGAUGUGAAAAUGCAGGGCUCAACUCUGUAUUGCGUUGGAAACUGUAUAACUAGAGUACUGGAGAGGUAAGCGGAACUACAAGUGUAGAGGUGAAAUUCGUAGAUAUUUGUAGGAAUGCCGAUGGGGAAGCCAGCUUACUGGACAGAUACUGACGCUAAAGCGCGAAAGCGU